ensembl:lncRNA
CUGCUGUGGGAGCUGUAGGAGGGGAAGAAGAUUUAGACGCACAUACUUUGUGUCUUUGCUGUUUCUAUUACAAAAAGGAGGUUUAUUCUGCAUCUUUCAGCAAAGAUACACACAGUGGAGAACAGGUAGUUUCUCUCUUCCUCUUUAAUUUUGCAUGGUUUCUCACAGUCACACCUUGUUACACCUUGGAGAAAAUGUCAAGGUCUCACUCGCACUCAUCCUUCCUGUACCGGUUAACUCGUCUAACAGAAUGUAACAGAACACAGAGUUUUCUUUAACACUGAGUUGGGCUGCUCUCAAAAGGGCCUCAGUAAGAGAACAAGAGAGAACCAGCAGACAUCAAACAAAAAGGCAAAGGCCCCCAGAUGGACACACUUAUUGACUGACAUUAUACAGGAUGCAGUAUUGUGAGAGAUAUUAGAUUCCUGGAGAGCUUAUGUAGUGAUCAUGCACGAAUCAUGUGAGUGGACAGCCAGUCGGAAUGCACCAUUGUUCUGGUGACUGUGCUAAAGAACUUUUAGUUUUGUUUCAUGAUGUUACCUCAGAUGUUCAUCCUUGGCCACAUCCUGCCAAACCUUCACACCCUUUUGUCAAGGAGCUCUCCCAGGCACUGAAAAAACUCAAAUUAAAGACGCUCUUUUCCAGUCACCACCCCCUGUUAGCAGACCACCCUGUUGUCACACCAGUAUGUCUCACCAUGCUGCAGCUCCUUGUCAGACCCAGCCAAAACCUAACUGUACUACAGUGCAGAACCCUGGAUGAAACCAUUGCCUUUCUCUUCCCGAACAGGGACCGAGCCAACCCACUCAGCUGCCUUUCUAUCAAGUACCGCCCCCAGAGGUUUAUCUGACACAAAGUCAGUUUGUUUCAAGAGACUUGAGCCAGUGCCACAAACUUCACACCCAGCUAAAACAUCCCAGCAUAGGGUUGAUGCUGUGUCCUACACCCACCGAUGUCAUCAUACUGGUUUCCAACAGUAGAAGGUUCCACUUACCCAGACUUCAUUAAGGAGAACAGAGUCCAGUAUGUGGAACUCAGGAUCGCUCUGGAUAAUCUGCUCCAUCCCAAAUUACCAAAGCACUACAAGUAUUCCAUCCCCCUGAAGCAUGUUGUGAAGUUGCAUUGCUGACUCUGCAUAUGCUAAGACAACUCUGUGAGCAUUAGGCAUGCCUAAUGCUCACAGAGUUGUCUUAGCAUAUGCAGAGUCAGUCACGCCUUACAUUAAUGCCCCACAAGCCCUUGACAGAAAUUAUGGUUGGCCUACCAGUUUGUGCUGGGGAAAAUUGAGGCUUUGUAGAACCUACAGUACCACACUCUAAAAACUGCUGGGUUGAAAACAACCCAAUUUGGGUCAUUUUGCAACCCAGCGCUGGGUCAAAAAGGGACGAACCCAGCGCUGGGUUAUUUUAACCCAACAAGUUGGGUUAUUAUGUUUAACCAAGCAUGCUGGGUUGCUUUUUUAUGGUUUAAAAUUACGACAUUGCUAGGCUAGGCUAAAAUGAACCCAAAUCGAGCUAGGUAUUAAACCUACAAAUCUUGUUCAUUUUAAAAUCACUUUAAUACACAAGAAUAACUAUCAAAAGGUAAAUAUUUAUUAAAAACAAGAGAAAACAGUCAAAAAGUAACACGUAAGAAGAAAUGCAGAAAAGUAUGGCAUUAACAGCUACAUAGUUUAUAAAUAAAGCAUUGAACAUUUGUUGAAUAGAACUUUUAAGAUCAAAUUUGACUUUUUUGGUAAAUUUUAUGUAUUGUAAAAAAAUAUACAAAAACACUAUUAUACAAUAAUUGUACAAUUACUUAAGUUAAGUUCUUUACAAAAUAUUCUGGCAUGACAGUACACAAACCACAACAUUAACACUGAUAUUAUAACAUUUGACAGAUGCAUGUGAGUGUGAAAGAAUGUGAGCAUGUGUAUGAAUGACAGAAUGUAAAC